rnacentral:rRNA from 1 species
GACGAACGCUGGCGGCGUGCUUAACACAUGCAAGUCGAACGGAAAGGCCCUGCUUUUGUGGGGUGCUCGAGUGGCGAACGGGUGAGUAACACGUGAGUAACCUGCCCUUGACUUUGGGAUAACUUCAGGAAACUGGGGCUAAUACCGGAUUGGAGCUCCUGCUGCAUGGUGGGGGUCGGAAAGCUUAGGUGGUUGGGGAUGGACUGCCGGCUUAUCAGCUUGUUGGUGGGGUAGUGGCUUACCAAGGCUUUGACGGGUAGCCGGCCUGAGAGGGUGACCGGCCACAUUGGGACUGAGAUACGGCCCAGACUCCUACGGGAGGCAGCAGUGGGGAAUAUUGCACAAUGGGCGGAAGCCUGAUGCAGCAACGCCGCGUGCGGGAUGACGGCCUUCGGGUUGUAAACCGCUUUCGCCUGUGACGAAGCGUGAGUGACGGUAAUGGGUGAAGAAGCACCGGCUAACUACGUG